UACGAAGGGGGCUAGCGUUGCUCGGAAUCACUGGGCGUAAGGGCGCGUAGGCGGCAUUUUAAGUCGGGGGUGAAAGCCUGUGGCUCAACCACAGAAUUGCCUCGAUACUGGGACGCUUGAGUGUGGUAGAGGUUGGUGGAACUGCGAGUGUAGAGGUGAAAUUCGUAGAUAUUCGCAAGAACACCGGUGGCGAAGGCGGCCAACUGGACCAUCACUGACGCUGAGGCGCGAAAGCGUGGGGAGCAAACAGG
rnacentral:rRNA from 1 species